GGGUUAAGUCCCGCAACGAGCGCAACCCUUGUCAUUAGUUGCUACGAAAGGGCACUCUAAUGAGACUGCCGGUGACAAACCGGAGGAAGUGGGGAUGACGUCAAGUCCUCAUGGCCCUUAUAGGUGGGGCUACACACGUCAUACAAUGGCUGGUACAAAGGGUUGCCAACCCGCGAGGGGGAGCCAAUCCCAUAAAGCCAGUCGUAGUCCGGAUCGCAGUCUGCAACUCGACUGCGUGAAGUCGGAAUCGCUAGUAAUCGUGGAUCAGCAUGUCACGGUGAAUACGUUCCCGGGUCUU
rnacentral:rRNA from 1 species